rnacentral:lncRNA from 1 species
UUGCAUUUCCUUAAUGGCUAGUGGUGGUGAACAUUUUUCAUGUGCUUAUUUGCCAUCUGUAUAGCCUCUCCAGGAGAUGUCUUCAUGUCUUUUACUGAUUUUCUAAUUGGAUUUUUAAAAACAAUUUGAGUUUUAAGAGUUCUCUGUAUAUUCUAGAUACUAGUCCUUUGUCAGGUAUAUGGUUUGCAUGUCUUUUCAUCCUCUUAAAAGGGUCUUUCACAGGGCAAAUGUUUUACAUUGGGAUGAAGUCCAAUUUAUGACUUUUUCCUUUUAUAAAUUAAGCUAUUGGUGUCACAUCUAGGAACUCUUUUCCUAGGCCUAUAUCCUGAAGCUGUCUCUUAUUUUAUUGGGGGCGGGGGGUGGGUUGUUAGGGUGCAAUUAAAAUACAUAUAGUAUAAAAUUUACAAUCAGUGACAUUUAGUACAUUCACAAUGUUUUGCAACAGUCACCAUUAUCCAGUUCCAAAACAUUUUCAUUGCCCCAAAAGGAAACCCAAUGCCCAUUAAACAGUCACGCUCCACUGCCAUUUCCCCCAGCCUCUGGCAACCACUAAUCUUUUAUCUGUCUCUAUGGAUUUGCCAGCUCUGGAUACUUAUAUAUAGCUAGGUGGUCCAAGUGCAGCUUGGUUUUACACAUUUUAGGGAGAUAUGAGACAGCAAUCAAUAUAUGUAAGUUGAACUUUGGUUUGGUCUGGAAAGGCGGGACAACUUGAAGCAAAGGCGGGACAGCUCAAAGUGGGGAGGGAGCUUCUAGGUCACAGGUAGAUAAGAGACAUGUCGUAUUUUUUUAGCUUUCUGAUUAGCCUUUUUAAAGGAGGCAGUCAGAUAUGCAUUUAUCUUGGUGAGCACAGGGAUGACAUUCAAUACAAUGGGAGGCUGGUUUGCCCUAGUUGUUCCUAGCUUAAGUUUUCCCUUUAGCUUAGUGAUUUGAGGGCCCCAAGAUUUAUUCUCCUUUUACAGAAUAAAGUUAGGUUGUUGAUCCAAGAUCUUUCUUCUUUUUGAUGUAGGUGUUUAUAGCAAUGAACUUCCCUCUGAGCACUGCUUUUGCGGCAUCCCGUAAGUUUAGGAUUUUGUGUUUUAUUUUCACUCAUCUCUAAGUAUAUUCUUAAUUUCCCUGUGAAUUCUUCUUUGACUUGUUGAUUAGGAGUGUGUUGUUUAAUUUCUUUCCUUUUUUGAUUUUUCCAGUUCUUCCUUCUCUUAUUAUUCCAUUGUGGCUGGAGAACAUGCUUUGUAUGAUUUUAGUCUUUUAAAACUUAUUGAGACUUGUUUUGUGGCCUAACAUAUGGGCUGUUCAGGGGAAUGUUUCAUGUGCAUUUGAAAAGAAUGUUUAUUCUGCUCUUGGUGUGUGGUGCUCUAUAGCAGUCUGUUAGGUCUAGUUGUUUUAUAAUAUUGUUCAAGUUUUCUGUUUCCUUAUUGACCUUCUGGUUCAAUGUUUUAUCCAUUUAUUGAAAGUGAGGUAUUGAAGUCUCCAACUAUUACUUUAAAACUGUUUGCUUCUCCCAGCAAUUCUGCUAAUGUUUGCUUCAUAUAUUUUGGGGUUCUGCUGUUUGAUGUAUGUAAGUUUAUAAUUAUCCAUAUAUAAUGUUCUUCUUUAUCUUUUGUAACAAUAUUUGACUAAAAGUCUACUUUGUCUGAUAUUAGCACAGCCAUUCAAACUUCAUUUUGGUUACUAUUUUCAUAGUAAAAAGAAAUAGUACUAUUUGCAUGGAAAAAGACUUUUUCCCAUCCUUUUACUUUCAACUUCUUUAUGUCUUUGGAUCUACAGUGACAGCUUAGAGGUGGAUCAUAUUUAUUGUCCAUUCCAUCAAUGUCUUUAAAUUGCAGAGUCUAAACUAUUUAUAUUUAAAAUGAUUACAGAAAAGGAAUCAUUUAAUUCUGCCAUUUUGCUAUUUGUUUUCUGUAUGUCAUAUCUUUUAUGUUCCUCAAUUGCUCCAUUAUGGCCUUAUUUAGUGUUUGAUUGAUUCUUUUGGUAGUAUACCAUUUUGAUUCUCUCCUCAUUCCUUGUUCUGUAUAUUUUACGUUUUUUUUUUUUUAAUGGUUACUCUUGGAAUUACAGUUAAUAUUCUAAAUUUACAGCAAUCUAGUUUGCAUUGAUACUAACUUAUUUUCAGUAGCAGUAAACACUGCUUCUGUACAACUCCAUACACUCCCUCUUUGUAUUUUUGUGGUCAUACAUUAUAUCUUUACAUAUAGAAAACUAAAAGAGAAGUUAAAAACAAAGAAUCCAAUAAUAUUGGCCUUAUAUUUACCUACGUAGUUACCUUUACUAGUUUUUUUUUUUAAUAUGAAUUCACAUAAGUGUCUAGUGUCAUUUCAUUUCUUCCUGAAUGAGUCUCUUAAAUGUUGUUUGUAAGACAAUUCUCCUAUAAUAAACCUCUUCAGGUUAUA